CGCGGUGGGAGUGAAGGAGCCCAUCUCGGCCCUCCCGCCUCCCCCUUGGAGCCUGGCUUCGGGGUAGAGCGGAGGAGGCGGGCGCCACGGCUCGGGUCGGCGGCACUGGCUGCGGGCGUCGGGCGAGGGGCGAGGGACCCCCCCCAGCCCCCGCUGGCGCCCGCAACUCGGGGCCCCGUCCGGGAGCUGCAGCGGCCACACUUCGCGCAGACACGCGCGCGGGGGAGGGGAGGGUGACAGAACCGACACGGGAAGCUGGCCUUGGGCGCACGGGACCCCUCACCUGCCGAGGCAGGUAGGGAGCCAGUGGCCCACCCGGAUAGACGCGCCACUAGAAAGCCUUCAGGCGCUGAGGCAACGGUCCCUCCCGGGCGUGGAAAAUUCUCGCUUCAACUUGUGGGUCCAGAGUGUGAAUCAAGAAUAACAUGGCAACCGAGCCUGGGGAGCCAUGGACCCAUCCUGAGUCUUGGACCACCAUUCAUGCUGUCUAUCCUCUACCUUAGAAGUGUUCUCGGAGGGAAACAUUGCAUCUUUGAAGUGUCAAGUCGAUUUGAUUACUCUCAGAUCAGCCCUAUGGAGAGACCCAUGUAGCAGGGGACAAAGCCUCCAGUGAACAGCCAUGAGAGCGAGCCUUCUUGGAAGUGGCUACUCUGGCUUCAGCCAUGCCCACAGUGUCUCAGCAGAUGUCCAAGGUUGAGAGAAGCUCUACUGAAGGACUGUACCCAAGGAGCCUCAUCCAUGCCAGAAACUAAUUUAGAUGAUGAGAUUCUGGAGUUUGAGCUGACGCAUCAGAUUUUGUGGACCUUAUGAAGACUGCGUAUAUUUUACAUGUAGGAAGAAUGUAAGUAAUUUGUGGACAGAGGAUGGACUAUGGUAUUUUUAAAUGUAUCCCCUCAAGAGGUAGAGUCCAAUCCCCCCCUUCAUGCGAGUGUCUGUGGACUUAAUGACUCCUUUCUAAUGACUAGAAUAAAGUAGAAGUGAGAGAGGGAAACUUGUACAACUAGGUUGUGCAAGCCACUGUGCCUCUUUCUCGGUUAUUCUGGGAGAAGUUAGCUGCCAUGGCAUGAGCAGCUGAAUGGAGUGGUCCACGUGGCAAGAAACAAGAGUCCUCCAAGAGAGCCAUGUGAGUGAGCUUUCCUGGAAGUCAAUCCUCCAGUUGCAGCCAUGCCUUCAGAUGACUAGUCCCAGCUCACAGCUUGAUGGCAACCUCGUGAGAGACCCUGGGGCUGGAUCACCCAGCUAAGCUGCUCCCGAAUUCCCCACUCUCAGGAACUGUGUGAGAUAUUAAAUGUUUUCUUAGGAUUCUGCACUUUGGGUACUUUGCCUGGCAGCAAUAGAUAACUAAUAUAGCACAAGGGGAAAUAUUCUUUUGUAGCAUUUGUCAAAUAAGUUCAAAUAUGAGGCACUUAGCGAACUUCCCAAUCUCAGAUAAUCAUGGCAAAUGAUUGCCCCUUGAGGUACAGGGAAAAAGCCAGUGAGACACAGAGGGAAAGUAAAGAGGAAGAUAAAAGAAGAGAGGACUAAAAGAAGGGAUAAAAGAAAAAAUAGCAAGAGAAGGACACAGGAAAGGUGUCCAUAUUUCCUAGUUUACUCAGGACAGUCCCAGUUUGCAGUGUUGUCCUACUACAAUUAUAACUAGAAUCCCCUUUCACUUUCAAGGGUCUUGGUUUGAAGGAUAAAUUAUAUGACUCUAGCUAGAGGCCAAUAUUUCAGUCUUCCAUUCUCACUGUUUUUUGCCUUAAUAUUCUAUCUUUUUCCCAUGGCUUGUUGCCCCAGCCUCUUUCCAGUCUGUUCUGAUACUAGCCCAGAGUCCUAACUUUCCCACCAAACCACAGCCUGUCACUGGCACCAGCUCCAGGAGUUAGAGGUCACCUCUGUCCACUCCCUCGUGUUCUUUCAUCACAGUAAGCAGUUUGUCACGGCAGCAAAGAGAUCAGUGUAGGAACUAGACAAGGGUCUGGAUCUUGGUUGUAUACCUGCUGGGGGAAUUACUUAACUUCUUUAAGCCUCAGAUAUAAGCUUCAGAAUAGAAUAUUAUCUACUAUCUUAUAGGGAUGUGGAAGAUGUUAAUGGGAUUGUGUACAUAAUGUGCUUAGCACAGUGCCUGACAUAUAUAUGCUGGGCACUGUACCUUUGAGCAUUUUAUAUGCAUAAUAUAUUUGACAAAUAUAUGUUAGUUAUAAUCUUAACUUACUGUCACAGAAAACAAAGUCAUCUCAUUGAGGCUGAAGCACCUUAGGUGUCGGGACAUGUAUUUUACUGGGGAACCCUCAAGUACAUGGGUACUUGUAUUUAUUAGUUUUAAUGUUAGAAGGCAGAGACAUGGUUAGGAAAUGUGUUUAGGAGUCAAGUAAAAGCCAGGCAAAGACUAUAUUUGCUUUUCAGGCUUGAUAUGUUUUACUUUGCUCAUUCAUUCAUUCAUUCAUACAUUUAUCCACUUGUUCUUUCAACAAAGAUAUAUUAGUUAUCUACCAGAUCACAAGCACGAUGCUAACCACAGGAUUGAGCAAUGCUUUGCAACAAGAAUAAAGCUGUAUUCCCACUUCUUCCAGGAAAACAUUACAUUUAAAAAAGGUGUUAUGUGGGAAUAUGAGUGACUAGUGAUCUGAAGCCAAAUUAAAAAAUAUAUAUAUACACACACACACGUAUGUUUUUCAGGGUGACUAGAUUUUAUUUUAAAUUAGUUUUGAGCAAUAGAAGCAAUUUGCUGCUAUAAAAAGGAACAGGUUUUAGCUUUUGACUUGAUUUUUUUUUUAAACUAAGAGUGGGAAAAUGCAAAUUAUGUGAAUAUAUAAUUCGGAAUCCUGGUGAUGGGAGCAGAAGGAGCUGACAGGAAGACAGAAUUCUCUUUUUUUUUCUUUGCCAUAGGCAAUCCUUUUCUCUGUUUUUAGGAAAAAAGAAAACUAGUAGACAGAAAUAGUCCUAGGCACAUGGAUUAUAUAUUUCAUAUGCAUAGCAUAAAAUAUUCAGUAAAGUUAAGUAGGUGUCUGAAAAUCAAGAAACUUCAAUACAUGAAGGUGACGACAACAAUUAAAGUAGGAUGCCUUCAACCUAUAUGGUAGGUUUAAGGGAUUUGGCAAUAUCUUUUUUUUUCAUUUUUAAAAAUAUAUAUAUUUUUCACUAUUUUUAAUUCCCUUUGAUAAUGAGCACCACUUCAUACUUUUCAAUAGCUCAUGGAUUUUUACCUCUGUGUUCAUCUUCAAGGUCAAGUUUAUGAACAUGCUACAAAUAAGCUAAUUGUAAACGAGUUAGAGAUGUUUUUUAGGAGUAAUAAUAACCAACAUUUAUUAAGUGUUUGUUAAAUUCAAAGCCGUACAGGUCAUUUCCCCUCAAAUUCUCACAACAGCCAUGGGACUCCGCCGCUGUCAUUGUCUUAUCCCACAUGUGAAAAAAGCAUGGAAAGUGGAAGAACCUUGCUUGACUACAAAGGUAGGUGGUGACAGUCAGGAUUUGAACCUGGGAGUCUGGCUCGAGACCCAUGCUUAACCACACUAUUUUGAAUGGAUGGGCUAAAUGUUUUUCACCUGUUUAUGGAUAUUUCCCAAUUAGUCUCUUUUGAAAAAGUUAUAUCUUCUUGGGUUCUCUUUUAAGUCCUUGCCCUUGUCUCUGUUCUAUCCAAGGAUCAUUUAACCUGAUAAAUAUGCAAGUCCACACCUGUCUGCAUGAUGCACUGACUCAUUCAUUUAGCUGAAAGGUAGAAACCAAAUUGGUUUUUAAAAAAACAUAGGAAUCUAAUUGAAAAAUUUCAUGAAUCACCUUAAUGAGAAACCAGUAGCAGAAUCUCAAGUACAGAGAGCCUCAGACAAUGCUUAUUAAAAGCCCUGGUCAACUAUACAUAUUCAUCUUGAAUGAAAAUGCCUCUCUAGCAAGACAUUGCGUGACAGUAGUAAUCACUGAAGUUUAGGAUGUGAAAACCAUCUCAAGUGACUUAAAUUAUUGUUCCUUAUUCUUCUGUGUUUGAACAUCAUGAUGUGUCUACUUAGUAUUGAAUAGCGAGGUGGCCAGUAUUCUUUCCAGCACUGGGUAAAUUAAAGACAAACCAAGUUGAUAACAUCUCGCUCUUAUUUGUUCUUUAUAAAUUUACAUUCUGCCGGAUUUAUAAGCUUCACUUUGUACCUUUUUCUUAAAGUUUAUGUAUUUAUUUUGGGGGGGGGGGCGGAAGAGGCAGAGAGAGAGGGAGAGAGAAUCCCCAGCGGGCUCCCAUGAACCGUGAGAUCAUGACCUGAGCCGAAAUCAAGAGUCGGUCACUUGACCGACUGAGCCACCCAGGCGCUCCGACUUUGUACCUUUUGAGAGUGCAGCCAUUUGGAGUUUGGUUGUUAAGGAGAGUCCCUAAGUUGUGUUGCUGAAAUGUGAGGAAUCCCUUCAGACGGUUCGCCGCAGCUCGCUGGGUGCCACUUCUCCCAGAGCGUAACACCCCGUGUUGCCCAACGCUGUGAGGGCAUGAGCAGGCCGCUUACCAUCCUGAUGGCUUUUCUCCUGCCCUUUUUUCCUAAUGGAAAAUCAUUUUUCCCAUUGGGAAUUUUGAGACAAUCAAUAUCCACUUGCAAAUAGCAUAAACUAUUGCUCUUUCUUCAUUUGUUUCUUACCACCCUAUAUCCCACCCAACCCACAGAUGCCUUUGCACACUGGCCCAAAUUUCCACAAACCAGGGCAAGAAUGGCUGCAUAAAUUGUGGACCCUUCUGCAAAAUGAAAAUGCAGAGCUUUUUGUUCAAAAAAAAAAAAAAGCCAGGAAAAAACUAAGUUGUGAAUGCAGCUAUCAGAGCAUUUAAUGACCAUGUGGAAUCAUCAAAAUUACAUAAUUCCUAUUUCAUGGGACCCCUUCCACUUGGCCAGAAGAGGCAUAUCCAAGUUACUCAGGAAGGUUGUGGAGGAAGAGAGAGUUCAUCCAGCACAAAGCAGGCUGAGGUAGACUCCUUCAGGCAUCGAGACACUUGCAAGGUGAGCGUGGGCCUUCACGGGUGCCCUGAGACCUUCUCCCAUGACUCCGGAUGCGCUUGCAUUUGUCCAGGCCUGACGGCUGCCGGUCCCCUCUCGUGCCAGCUGCUGGACUGAUGCGCCUCCACGCUUAGGUGGAGAGCACCCUGGCGAAGUCCAGUCAGACGUCUCCACUUUCCACAGGCCUGAUACUUCAACCCGCGUGGAUAGGGAACCCCCCAGGGGACUGCAGGCCUGAGUUAGAAAACUGUAAGUACUUAGAUGAGGAUUGGGUCAAAGGCUCGUCUCCACUGAGCUGUGGCCUCUGGCUGCCUGCCGGCUCCUGAUGUCUCGUGACACACAGUUAGGGCAGGAUGUCCCCCAACAUCCUAUGCCCCAAAGUUUCGCUGGAUGCGGAUGCCCCUCCCCAUUUCUACCCAUACCUUCACCCUUGUCCCUGCCAGGGGGCUGGAGGUUAGGCAAACACUUGGGCAACGGUGGGGAAGGUGCGGCCGGGCCAGGCGGAAGAUAGCCAAGAACCCAUCGUGGGGAGGCGGGGAGGAGAACUGUGUGAGGGGAGGCUCCAAGCCCCCUGGGCAAUCUCCAUUGUCUCAAUAAUUUCACCUAUAAAUCAAAAAUUCAAAGAUAACAUUAUUAAGAAUUCGAAGGUGGUGACCACAGAGCAUUAGACCUCAAAUGUCCUGGGCUUUGUGCGGGGACACUGAUCACAUGACCAUGAAAUCAGUCCUGCUCAGGAAUGUUAUGAGGGAGUUAGUUGACCCACAAGGACGUAGGAGUCAACAAACAACAUAGUUUUAAAAUAGAAUAAAGAGAAAAUAGCUUUCUGUUGUUCCUUCCCAUGAUUCAUACAUGAAAAUUUUUAAAUACCUAUUUUAUGUUCUUCAAGAAAAUUUGACAAACCUCCCACUGAUGCAUAUAAAAAAAUC